rnacentral:rRNA from 1 species
GGACCCGCACAAGCGGUGGAGUAUGUGGCUUAAUUCGAUGCAACGCGAAGAACCUUACCUAGGCUUGACAUGCUUGUCGUACUCUCCCGAAAAGGAGAGGUCACUUCGGGUGGACAAUGCACAGGUGUUGCAUGGCCGUCGUCAGCUCGUGUCGUGAGAUGUUUGGUUAAGUCCAGCAACGAGCGCAACCCCUGUGAACUGUUGCCAGCGCGUAAAGGCGGGGACUCUGUUCAGACCUGCCCAGAUCAACUGGGAGGAAGGUGGGGACGACGUCAGGUCAGUAUGGCCCUUACGCCUAGGGCUGCACACGUACUACAAUGCCCAGCACAAUGAGAACCGAGACCACAAGGUGGAGGAAAUCUGCAAAACUGGGCCCAGUUCGGAUUGGAGGCUGCAACUCGCCUCCAUGAAGUCGGAAUCGCUAGUAAUGCCGUAU